rnacentral:rRNA from 1 species
UGCCAGCAGCCGCGGUAAUACGGAGGAUGCAAGCGUUAUCCGGAAUCAUUGGGUUUAAAGGGUCCGUAGGCGGCCAAAUAAGUCAGUGGUGAAAGCCCAUCGCUCAACGAUGGAACGGCCAUUGAUACUGUUUGGCUUGAAUUAUUAGGAAGUAACUAGAAUAUGUAGUGUAGCGGUGAAAUGCUUAGAGAUUACAUGGAAUACCAAUUGCGAAGGCAGGUUACUACUAAUAUAUUGGCGCUGAUGGACGAAAGCGUGGGGAGCGAACAGGAUUAGAUACCCUGGUAGUCC